GGGCUCGUAGCACAGCGGUAGUUGCGCGCCGUUCGCAACGGCGAGGCCGCGGGUUCAAAUCCCGCCGAGUCCA
rnacentral:tRNA from 1 species